CCUACGGGAGGCAGCAGUGGGGAAUAUUGCACAAUGGGGGAAACUCUGAUGCCGCAACGCCGCGUGAGUGAAUAAGGUUUUCUGAUUUUAAAGCUCUGUUAGCAGGGAAGUUGACGGAAGGUAGUUGCAGAGGCAGCCACGGCUAACUACGUGCCAGCAGACGAGGUAAUACGUAGGUGGCAAGCGUUGUUCGGAAUAACUGGGCGUAAAGGAUGCGUAGGCGGUUAAACAAGUAAUAUGUUAAAUAUAUAGUCUUAACCUGUAGAAAGCAUAUAAAACUGUUUAACUAGAGUGCAGGAGUGGUAAGUGGAAUUCCUGGUGUAGCGGUGAAAUGCGUAGAGCUUAGGAAGAACACCAGUGGCGAAGGCGACUUACUGGACUAUAUCUGACGCUGAGGCAUGAGAGCAUGGGGAGCAAACAGGAUUAGAUACCCUUGUAGUC
rnacentral:rRNA from 1 species